rnacentral:rRNA from 1 species
GUCCUUUUGUUAUUUAUUUAAGGUUUGACCUGCCCACUGAUUUUUUAAUGGCCGCGGUAUUCUGACCGUGCAAAGGUAGCAUAAUAAUUUGUCUUUUAAUUGAAGGCUUGUAUGAACGGUUAGACGAAGAAAUAUCUUUCUUUAUUUAAUAUUUAUGAAUUUAAUUUUUUAGUUAAAAAGCUUAAAUUUAUUUAUAGGACGAGAAGACCCUAUAGAACUUUAUAAUUAAUUUUUUAUAUUUUAAUUAGUUUAUUAAUUUAGUAUAAUUAAUUUAUUAUUUUGUUGGGGCGACAAGAAAAUUUAAUUAACUUUUCUUUUAUUUUUCAUUAAUUUAUGUUUUUAUGAUCCUAUAUUAUAGAUUAUAAGAUUAAGUUACCUUAGGGAUAACAGCGUUAUUUUUCUGGAGAGUUCUUAUCGAUAGAAGAGUUUGCGA